CAGCAGUCGCCGCGGGAAUACGGAGGAUCCAAGCGUUAUCCGGAAUCAUUGGGUUUAAAGGGUCCGUAGGCGGUCUUGUAAGUCAGUGGUGAAAGCCCAUCGCUCAACGGUGGAACGGCCAUUGAUACUGCAGGACUUGAAUUAUUGGGAAGUAACUAGAAUAUGUAGUGUAGCGGUGAAAUGCUUAGAGAUUACAUGGAAUACCAAUUGCGAAGGCAGGUUACUACCAAUUGAUUGACGCUGAUGGACGAAAGCGUGGGUAGCGAACAGGAUUAGAUACCCCAGUAGUCCAUGUCUCUUAUAC
rnacentral:rRNA from 1 species